CAGAGCCCCGCCCACUCACACUCUUCUCUCUCCCCGUUCUCCUCUCUUUCUGCUUCUGUCUUCCUCUUCUCUUCUGUCUUCCCUCUGUGUCUCUUUACCUCUUUUCUCUUUCCUUCCCCUUCCCUCCCCUUCCUAAUAAAACCUCUCACUCAAGCUCUGUCUGCCUGGCGUGUUUCGGUCACCCUAGCUGGCAUGGAAUCCGCCAUGGCCUCCACUGUAGAACCCCCUUCCGGCUUUAUCCUAGCAUUUGAAGCAAAAGAACAACUCCUUUCAGUCAACAGACAGCCUGAGGAGAUAGAUUUGGGACCCAUAAAACAGGAAGUCCAUGUGCAGCUGUGGCUGGCCUGAAACUUGAUAUGCAGACCGAGUAAUCCCAAACUCACAGACAUCUGCCUGCUUCUUCCACUGCUGAGAUUAAAGGUUUGUCUGCCUGCCAGAAGAGGGCACCAGAUCUCAUUGCAGAUGGUUGUGAGCCACCACCUGGUUGCUGGGAAUUGAACUCAGGACCUCAGUACUCUUAACCUCUGAGCCAUCUCUCCAGUCCACAUGCAGAUUUCUAACAGUGUUCCAUGCAGAAGCAGUAGGUACAAA
rnacentral:lncRNA from 1 species